GCCAGAGCGGAGUACGAGUCUGAGGCUGAGGGAGUCAUGGCAGGACAGGCGUUUAGAAAGUUUCUCCCACUCUUUGACCGAGUAUUGGUUGAAAGGAGUGCUGCUGAAACUGUAACCAAAGGAGGCAUUGUGCUUCCAGAAAAAUCUCAAGGAAAAGUAUUGCAAGCAACAGUAGUCGCUGUUGGAUUGGGUUCUAAAGGAAAGGGUGGAGAGAUUCAACCAGUUAGCGUGAAAGUUGGAGAUAAAGUUCUUCUCCCAGAAUAUGGAGGCACCAAAGUAGUUCUAGAUGACAAGGAUUAUUUCCUAUUUAGAGAUGGUGACAUUCUUGGAAAGUACGUAGACUGAAA